rnacentral:tRNA from 1 species
ACUCAGAUAGUUUAAUUAGAAUUAUAAUUUGUGAUGUUAUAGGUGUUUUAUAACUUUGAGUU